rnacentral:lncRNA from 1 species
CUUAAACCCAGGUCUGGAGAGAGGACACCUCCGGAACAGAGGCUAAGUAAAACAUCCCCACAUCUUCACAGGCCCAAGGUCACAGCCUGGUUGUCCAGUGACAGUGCCGAAUGCCUCAGAGCCACUGUGUCUGAGUCUGAGUGUCCUGGUCGCAGAGAGCCCAGCUGAGAGGUCAGGCGUCGAGCGAGUAGGUGCCAUGGUGUGGGAUACCGUCAUGUCUGCCUGGUGAGAAAAUGGACCCAAUUUAAUGGAUAUCAAUCAACAAAGAGGUAUACAGACGAGGAGGCAUAGAAAGGUAUUGGUAUGUUAUGCAGAUCACAUUUACCAUCCUCCUCCCUUACCUCUUCAAUAAAAAUCACAUAGGCCUCUACAUUAUGGACAAGACUUCACCCUCCCUACACCUCUGAUUAAUAUAACAGGAAACCUGUUUGAUCACCAUGUACUGCAAAAUCAUUCUGGCUAUGGAUACGGAGAACAUCAACACAUUAACAUCAACACGUCAGAGGAUAAACCGAUUGGACUUGGGGCUCUGCUGGGAGUUUACCUCAUACUUAGAUUUUCUAUUCUGCUUUGCCACUAAAAUCAUAAUAAACA